UUCUAAAUCAUUUCUUUUCUAGAAGUUAUAUCAAUGUUACUCGUUCUUUAUCAAUGUCUCCCUGUACAACAUCAGGUCCUCGCAGGGAUCCUCAAGGCAGGACAGUGGAUGAAGCAUGCCCUGGCCCCACAUCAUCAAGGACAUUUGUUUCACCAUCGCGACCAAUGGAACCGGCACUUUUCCCAUUCUGGGAAAGUGGUCCAAUCUUUGGUGCGUCUACCUCUCCCACCGUUGGCUGGUUCCUGCCACUGAAAGCAAAAAUCUUCCCCAACCUAUUAACCACCAAUUAUAAAAUUUUCGAGGAUGAAUUAUCUCUCAUCUAAUCCAUAUUUAGACCUCCACUAUAGAUUAAAAUGUGGUAUAAACAACAACUAUCAAAUACAUUAUUUGAAUCCUUGUAUAACUCUCU
rnacentral:lncRNA from 1 species